AAUUGUUCGCAAUGGGCGAAAGCCUGACGCAGCGACGCCGCGUGGGUGAUGAAGGCCUUCGGGUCGUAAAGCCCUGUCGAGGGGGACGAACCGGUUGCGACCGAAUACGUCGCGACCCUGACGGUACCCCUAAAGGAAGCACCGGCUAACUCCGUGCCAGCAGCCGCGGUAAGACAGAGGGUGCAAACGUUGCUCGGAAUCACUGGGCGUAAAGGGCGUGUAGGCGGGGAAGUAAGUCGGGCGUGAAAUCCCCAGGCUCAACCUGGGAACUGCACUCGAAACUACUUCUCUUGAGUACCGGAGAGGAAAGCGGAAUACCUGGUGUAGAGGUGAAAUUCGUAGAUAUCAGGUGGAACACCAGUGGCGAAGGCGGCUUUCUGGACGGUAACUGACGCUGAGACGCGAAAGCGUGGGGAGCAAAC
rnacentral:rRNA from 1 species